rnacentral:rRNA from 1 species
GUUCGAUCUCAAAUCAGGUAGGACUACCCGCUGAACUUAAGCAU